rnacentral:rRNA from 1 species
UUGGUGACUGAGUGGCGGACGGGUGAGUAACGCGUGGGUAACCUGCCUCAUACAGGGGGAUAACAGUUAGAAAUGACUGCUAAUACCGCAUAAGACCACAGCACCGCAUGGUGCAGGGGUAAAAACUCCGGUGGUAUGAGAUGGACCCGCGUCUGAUUAGGUAGUUGGUGGGGUAACGGCCUACCAAGCCGACGAUCAGUAGCCGACCUGAGAGGGUGACCGGCCACAUUGGGACUGAGACACGGCCCAAACUCCUACGGGAGGCGGCAGUGGGGAAUAUUGCACAAUGGGGGAAACCCUGAUGCAGCGACGCCGCGUGAGCGAUGAAGUAUUUCGGUAUGUAAAGCUCUAUCAGCAGGGAAGAAAAUGACGGUACCUGACUAAGAAGCACCGGCUAAAUACGUGCCAGCAGCCGCGGUAAUACGUAUGGUGCAAGCGUUAUCCGGAUUUACUGGGUGUAAAGGGAGCGUAGACGGAGUGGCAAGUCUGAUGUGAAAACCCGGGGCUCAACCCCAGGACUGCAUUGGAAACUGUCAAUCUAGAGUACCGGAGAGGUAAGCGGAAUUCCUAGUGUAGCGGUGAAAUGCGUAGAUAUUAGGAGGAACACCAGUGGCGAAGGCGGCUUACUGGACGGUAACUGACGUUGAGGCUCGAAAGCGUGGGGAGCAAACAGGAUUAGAUACCCUGGUAGUCCACGCCGUAAACGAUGACUACUAGGUGUUGGGCAGCAAAGCUGUUCGGUGCCGCAGCAAACGCAAUAAGUAGUCCACCUGGGGAGUACGUUCGCAAGAAUGAAACUCAAAGGAAUUGACGG